GACGAACGCUGGCGGCGUGCCUAAUACAUGCAAGUAGAACGCAGUUGCGAACGGGUGAGUAACGCGUAGGUAACCUGCCUCAUAGCGGGGGAUAACUAUUGGAAACGAUAGCUAAUACCGCAUACUGUGAGAUGGACCUGCGUUGUAUUCGCUAAUUGGUGAGGUAAAGGCUCACCAAGGCGGGGAUAAAUACCCGACCUGAGAUGGUGAUCGGCAAUACGGAGACUGAGAGAGGGCACAGACUCCUCAGGGAGGAAGAAGUACGGAAUCUGCGGAAAUGAACGGAAGUCGGACCGGGAAACGCCGCGGGAGUUAAGACGGUUUUCGGAUCAUAAAGCUCUGUUGUUGGUGAGCGGGAACUAACAAGAAAGGGGCGGCUAACUACGUGCCAGCCGCCGCGGUAAUAC
rnacentral:rRNA from 1 species